UACGGAGGAUGCAAGCGUUAUCCGGAAUGAUUGGGCGUAGAGCGUCCGCAGGUGGUACAACAAGUCUAGUGUCAAAGACCGGGGCUCAACCCCGGGAAGGCGGUGGAAACUGUUGAACUAGAGGGUCGUAGGGGUAGAGGGAAUUCCCAGUGUAGCGGUGAAAUGCGUAGAGAUUGGGAAGAACAUCGGUGGCGAAGGCGCUCUACUGGACGGCAAUUGACACUCAGGGACGAAAGCUAGGGGAGCGAAUGGG
rnacentral:rRNA from 1 species